rnacentral:rRNA from 1 species
UACGAAGGGGGCUAGCGUUGCUCGGAAUUACUGGGCGUAAAGGGCGCGUAGGCGGCCUUCUAAGUCAGACGUGAAAUCCCCCGGCUUAACCUGGGAACUGCGUCUGAUACUGGAGGGCUUGAGUGCGGGAGAGGGAUGUGGAAUUCCAGGUGUAGCGGUGAAAUGCGUAGAUAUCUGGAGGAACACCGGUGGCGAAGGCGGCAUCCUGGACCGACACUGACGCUGAGGCGCGAAAGCUAGGGUAGCAAACGGG